UUUUAAUUUUUUAUUACACCCAUAAGAAGGUGCCAUGGGUUUCCAUGUUGGCAGAGCUGGUAGAGGAGCACAGCGGGAAGGGUCCUGUUGAGGCAGGACCCGCAGAGAGAUGAUCCCACUGCUCUGUGGCAAUGGCCGCCUGCUCUGCCCUUCCCCUCCCGCAGGCAGCAGGAGCGGCUGAACUCGCUGUCUCUGCCUGACUAACACAGGAAGAAGCAAGCGGGACCGGCAAUCUGGCUCCCUGCCGCAGGGGCAGGAGGCAGCUGGUUUUGUGGGGAAGAACCAGCUACUCAUCCAUCACAGCAGCAGGGGCUCCGUUUCCUGCACUGCCUGCUGCGGCAGGCAGCGUUUGCUCAGGGAGAGUCUCCUCCAGAAAAACAAAAGAGCUAGAGGGAAGCAACCCUGCGGACCAGGUUACCUCCUGGAGCAAGCUGAUGUAAGCAAAGUAGUCAGAGACAAGGGAUAAAGACGGCUUAGCUCAACCACUUGCUAAGGGCUCAUCAUCACGAGCAGGUACAUCUGCACAGAAGCACAUCCUCACACCACAGGUGGCAACGAAUGGACCAGGCAGACUUUUGCUUCUUCCCCCAGGCUGAAUCUGAAACCUGAAAAGAAGCAUUCAGCACAUACGUGUGCAACGUUAGGACUCCCAAGGAAAGAGACUUCUCUUUCAAAGUAAACUGCAAAGUACUGCUUCUACAAAAUUACUGACUACUACACAGAAUGAUCCCAGUAUUUAGCCAGCUCAGCCACUGUAGAUCAACCGGCAUGAUAAGCUAACUGCAGUGGGCAGCUUCCUCAUUCUGAAGUAUCAAAGCUCAGACAAGCACGUGGUUGCUACUCUAUUAGAAGAGGGUGAGGUUCCAUCUUUAUUCUCCAGGAAAACUUUGUUCUGUUAAACUGGGUUGUGUUUGGCAACCACAAGCACUGCUAUAGCUGCUGCACAGCUCAGGGAAACGUGGAGUAAUUGUGUCAUUAAGCAGGGUGAAUGCUGGCUUUCUAAUCACAGCUGAUGCAACUCAUCACACUGGUCUCUGAGGCAUAAAGAGGCAAGCCGAGGGCUAAAAGUAUACAGUUUGUUUCAUUGCAUGCCUUGGAGGAGCCUCAUCCACACCAGAGAAAACCAGCUGUGCACGACCAUUCAAGCAGUGGCCUUAAGUUGCUACGAGCUGCCGGGGCUUCUCAUAAUUUGACAUUUGGGGGAGGAAACGUUCUCUUGAGAGGAGGCUGGAAGUGGUCCCUGUGCAGCCACAAAAGAGAGACGGAGCUGCAGCAGCUAUUUUAUAGCUACUUCAAAGGCCACCUAAAUCCAGUGCCUCCAUGCUCUGUGCUCACCCAUAUAGACAGCAGAGUAAAAGAAACCGUCUCUUACAGACAGCUGGAGUUGCCAAGAGGAAAUAAUGCACAGAUGAUACAGAAUGUAAGACUUACACAUUCUUUGAAAGGUAUGGCCUGUGUCUUACACCUGAUAUCUGUAAAACUCACAGUGAAAAAGUGCUGACUUGCCUAGAGACUUUUUGAAGUAGCAUCUCUUUGUUGCAAGAUUAACAGGCCUUGAACGAGUUCAUUGAGUCACAUCCUGAAGAAAUCAUACAGUAAGAUAAGGGGAACUAAGACCAUCAGCACCCAAGACAAGUGCAGAAGAGCUAACUGAAACCAGCACAUAUCAUGACAGGCUGUGACAGACCAAUCAGCAAGCUAAUUCAUGACCAUACAUGGAAGAAAGGCUCAGAGCUGAUAGAAAAGACACUGAGAGAUCCCUCUAUAACAACCACCGGGGACCUCCAAAGACCACCGACCCAAAUCACUGAGCAUGCGUGAUUGGGAGGAGAGUAUGUAAAUAACUCAUUAUCAUAAGACUGCCUUUUCCAGGAAAUAGGACGGGGAUGUGUAUCUUUGUUCUAUAUAAACUGUAUGCUUUUGGUUGUGCGGCAUGGACAUUAGGUGGAGCUAUCCCCCGUGCAUCUGGCGCCAUGAAUAAAGAAUGCCUGCUUUUUAAAACUCCAAGAUGAGUCUUAGAGUUUCCAUAAGCUGUAAUUUUCAGCAUCAUUUUGGUGACCCAGGUGGGACCACGCUUUUGAGACGAUUGAUGUGGGAUCACAGGACCUCCAGCUGGCACCGAGAUUUCUCAGGUAGACCCUUGGUCCCCCUUCCUGCAAGCUCAAAAGCCAAAGCCCCUGGACACCAACCUCGAAAAGAAACUCAUACCAACAGAAGUGCAUAAUAUGGUAAUUCCAAUUGUUUGGGCCAGAGAAGUUCCAGGUAAAUCCAAAAGAGCUGAACCUAUGACAACUGACUUGAAACCAGGAUCGAGUCUGUGAUCAAGCUGAAAGAAAGCUGGAACGUGAUUGCUUACAGAUGAUUGAGGAAGUCUACUUGAGCUGACCAGACCUUAAAGAUACCCCGUUAGAAGGACCAGAUUGGGAGCUGUACACGGAUGGAAGCAGCUUUGUCCAAGAAGGAAAAUGCCAGUCUGGGUAUGUGGUAACCACUACUGAUAAGGUAAUCGAAUCGUGAGCUUUGCCUUUGAACAUGUCAGCCCGGAAGGCUGAAAUAAUAGUACUUACCAGGGCACUAGAAUUGAGCCAAGGGAAGUGAGUCAAUGUAUGGACAGACUCUAAGUAUGCUUUUGGAGUAGUCCAUGCGCAUGGAGCGAUAUGGAAAGAAAGAGGACCUUUGUCAUCACAAGGAAACACCAUUCAGCAUGCAGAACGAGUAUUGAAAUUAUUAGAAGCCAUCCAGAAGCCAGCAGCAGUUGCAGUACGCAUUGUAAGACACACCAGUCAGGUAAAACUGUCCCUGGAACAGGUAAUCGAUUGGCAGAUAAGGCUGCUAGAGAGGCUGCAGAAAAAGGCAUCCUAGCUUUAGUCCUGGAAAGGGGUAUAUAACCUUACCUAAAGAACCCCCAAAAUGUGAGAAAGGCAAAAAACUGAUUACUAAACUACAGGCUAAGAAGGAUGAAAGAGGAUGGGCUAUAAUGCCGACUGGACAAAUAGUGGUACCACCUACAAUAAUGAGAAAUUGCUAGGGCAGAACAUAAUAAAGUACACUGGGGAACAGAAAGCCUGGUUGAGCACUUACAGAAAUGCAUUUUAAGCAGAGCCAUGACAAAAAACAUUCAAUCAGUUAUGGGCAGCUGUGAAAUUUGCUUACAAAACAACCCUAACACUAGUAGUAAAAUUAUAUUGAGAGUCACCAAGAAAGGUAACCCCUAGAGAGUAUUGGCAAAUUGAUUUCACAAAAUUACCUUGGAAGGAAGGGUACCGAUAUGUACUGGUACUGGUAGAUACAUUCACUGGGUGGCCUGAGGCUUUUCCAAGUCGCACCAACAAAGCAAGAGAAGUGGUUAAAAAUUUGCUCAAAGGAAUCAUUCCAAGGUUUGGCGUUCGUUCGGGAAUGUCAUCUGACAAUGGGCCUCAUUUUACAGCAGGAGUUGUUAAACAAUUGAGCAAGACACUGUCUAUAAAUUGGGAUUAUCACACACCAUAUAGGCCACAGUAGAGCGGGAGAGUAGAGUAGAUGAAUUAUACCCUUAAACAACAGUUAGGAAAAAUUUGCCAAGAAACUUCAUUAACAUGGGUAAAAGCAUUACCUAUGCCUUCGUUGAGAAUUGAAUCCAGCCAUGGGGAAAAGGAAACUUAAGUCCGUAUGAAAUGCUGUAUGGCAGACCCUCCCAAGGGUCAUACGCUCUAGGUACUAUUCAUGUACUUGGAGACAUGAUCCUGAGAAACAGUGUGAUUUCUCUUGGAAAUA